rnacentral:ncRNA from 2 species
AUCGCUCGUCCUGCGACAGGUUCCCCCGACGCUAGCGCCGAGGGGGAUGAAAAUGGGAACGGGAAACACCCGGCUGCCCCUGCAACUGUACGCGGCGAGCCACCGUGCCUCAUGCCAUUGGGAUCGUCCCGAGAAGGCGGCGCGGACGGCGUUGACCCGCGAGCCAGGAGACCUGCCCGUCGCGGUCGUCUUUC